GACGAACGCUGGCGGCAUGCCUAACACAUGCAAGUCGAACGAGAACUUCGGGUCUAGUGGCGCACGGGUGCGUAACGCGUGGGAAGCUGCACUUAGGUUCGGAAUAACUCCCCGAAAGGGGUGCUAAUACCGGAUAAUGUCUUAGGACCAAAGAUUUAUCGCCUUUGGAUGGGCCCGCGUUGGAUUAGCGAGUUGGUAGGGUAAAAGCCUACCAACGCGACGAUGCAUAGCUGGUCGGAGAAGAGGAUCAGCCACACUGGGACUGAGACACGGCCUAGACUCGUACGCGAGGGAGCAGUGGGGAAUAUUGGAGAAGGGGCGAAAGUCUGAUCCAGCAGUGCCGCGUGAGUGAUGAAGGCCGUAGUGUUGUAAAGCUCUUUUACCCGAGAUGUUAAUGACAGUACCGGGAGAAUAAGCUCCGGCUAACUCCGUG
rnacentral:rRNA from 1 species